rnacentral:rRNA from 1 species
GACGAACGCUGGCGGCGUGCCUAAUACAUGCAAGUAGAACGCACAGUUUAUACCGUAGCUCGCUACACCAUAGACUGUGAGUUGCGAACGGGUGAGUAACGCGUAGGUAACCUGCCUGGUAGCGGGGGAUAACUAUUGGAAACGAUAGCUAAUACCGCAUAAUAUUGAUUAUUGCAUGAUAAUUGAUUGAAAGAUGCUAUUGCAUCACUACCAGAUGGACCUGCGUUGUAUUAGCUAGUAGGUGAGGUAACGGCUCACCUAGGCGACGAUACAUAGCCGACCUGAGAGGGUGAUCGGCCACACUGGGACUGAGACACGGCCCAGACUCCUACGGGAGGCAGCAGUAGGGAAUCUUCGGCAAUGGACGAAAGUCUGACCGAGCAACGCCGCGUGAGUGAAGAAGGUUUUCGGAUCGUAAAGCUCUGUUGUAAGAGAAGAACGGGUGUGAGAGUGGAAAGUCCACACUGUGACGGUAUCUUACCAGAAAGGGACGGCUAACUACGUG